AUACCUCAUGAUGAACUGAAGACGCGAAGGACAGAUCUCCACCACAGACGACACUGAUAAGAUUUCAGCGCUGCAGAAGCAACUGGAGAAGAAGCAAGAGGACCUGAACUCCAACACUGCAGACAUAGAGAGACUGAUUGCAAACCCCCAAACAAUUUUAACAAUUAUCGAAGUGCAGAAUGAAAUAUGGGACCUUGAGAAAAAGCCUGCCAAUGAGACCAAUAGUGAACGUCUAAAAGAGCUUCAAGACAGAGUGGAUGGCCUUAUCACUGAAAUAGACGACAAUGAAAGCA